GCCUGGGUGGCUCAGUUGGUUAAGCACCUGCCUUUGGCUCAGGUCAAGAACCCAGGGUCCUGGGAUUGAGUCCCGGAUCAGGCU
rnacentral:tRNA from 1 species